CAGGCCUCUGAGACAACAGGAAGCAGGCUGCCAAGUGACUGCAGGCCGGGGAGGGGAAUCCUUCCAGUGCUUGUCUCAAAUGCGGCAUAGGGAGGAGUGGACAAAAGCAAGCUGUUUAAAGAGGAGAACUGGAUGGGCCAGGUUGACUGAUCAGGAAACUUCCUGACUUGCCAAAACAAUUGAAUCUGACUCUGCUGCCCGACACGAUGGCUGUGCAAACAUAAGUCAUUUCCCCUCCCCAUUUAUCCAAAGGUGGAGACAACCUUGAUCUUUUUCUUUCUUGUUUUUCCUCUACUAUUGUAUACUGGGAGUCAAGACUAAUUAAAAUUAUUAUUCAUCUCAUAGGUCAAUCGACCAUGAAAAAUACACUGGAAGAUAACUAAGAAGAAUUUAAUCAGAAAACUGUGAAUUUGGAACUGAAUGUAGUAACUGAAAACAUCUUGAAGUUGUCUGUCUUUGAGGAAGGAAAAAGCCUGAUCAUCAAAUGAAGCAACAGAGAAGCAGUGUCCUGCUAUCAUCUUUGGAAGACCUGGAGCAUUUAUGCAUAUGGCCAGCAUGACCCUUAGCUUCCCACUGUUUCAGUCUUCCAGGUCAUCAUUGGAAAGCUCUCCAGCCUCAAUGCCAACAAGCUCGUAUGCACUCACCAUUGCUCCAUCUGUGAGGCCACACCCUUCUAUAGAAGUAAACUGCUUUGCUGAGAAGAAAAAAAGAAAAUUUUAUAUUCGAGUGUUAUUUCUUUUGCGAAACUGAAACUUUAUUUAUAACAUGACAGAGUCUUGCUCUGUCACCAGGUUGGAGUGCAGUGGCAUGAUCUUGGCUCACUGCAAUGUCCACCUCCCGGGUUCAAGUGAUUCUUCUACCUCUGCCUCCUGAGUAAGUGGGAUUACAGGUACCCACCACCACAUCCCACUAAUUUUUGUAUUUUAGUAGAGAUGGGGUUUCACCAUGUUGCCCAUGCUGGUCUUCAACUUCUGGGCUCAAGUGAUCUGCCUGCCUCGGCCUCCCAAAGUGCUGGGAUUACAGGUCUGAGCCACUGUGCCUGGCCUUCAGUGUUGUUUUAAUCUGUGUUUCCAUAAAGAUAAUUAAUGUUGAACAUCUUUUUACAUGCUUAUUUACCGUCUGUAUAUAUUCUUUAGUGAGGGAUGUCAAUCAAGGAAAAUGACCAAGGCAAGACAAUCAUUUUAGAUUUAUUUGCCAAAGUUAAGGACACGCAUCCUGGAGACAAGUCUACACCUUUUUCUGAAGAUGGUUUUGAGGGCUUCAAAUUUCAAGAGGAAAGGGCAGGAUAUUGAGAAAUACACAGUUUUCAUGUGAGGGCAGGUAGAGGAAAAUGGUCAUUCAUGCAUUUGUCUGCCUCAGUGAAUCUGCAUUUUUACAUAAAAUAAUAUAGACAAUAGGGCAGAGGAAACAAUCAGAUAUGCAUUUGUCUAAGGUGGGCAGAGGAAUGACUUUGAGUUCUGCCCUAUGUCCCAGCACCUGUGAAGAUAAGCUAUCAAUUUACAUUGCCAGGGUGAGUUUUAACAGAAACACUUUAGGGUAAAGAUCUUGGGGCCCACAAGAAAUUUCCUUGUGUGCAAAAUAUCAAGGAGGCAUAUAGCUUUUCAUCUUUGUAGACAUCUUGUUUAGGAACCAAAAUGGGAGGCAGGUUUGCAUGACCCAGUUUCCAGCUUGACUUUUCCCUUUGGCUUAGUGAAUUUGUGAGCGGAAUAUUUACUUUCCUUUCACAGGUGUCUGUUGAGACAUUUUGCCUGUUUUAAUUUGGGCUGUUUGUUUCCUUACUGUUGUGUUUUAAGUCUUCUUUGGAUAUUCUUCAUAUAAGUCUUUUAUCAGAUAUUUGAUUUUCAAUAUUUUAUCCCAGUGUCUUUUCAUUCUCUUAACAAUUUCUUCACAGAGUAAAAAGUUUUAAUGUUAAUGAAUUCCAACUUAUCAAUUUUUCUUUUAUAAUAAAGUCAACUUUUCAAUUUUGCUGUACUUUUUGCUAUUGUAUCGAAAACUCUGUAUACAUAAAAUAUGCAUCCACAAAAUAUAAAA
rnacentral:lncRNA from 10 species